GCUCCGUUUUUUUAACAAAAUAAGAUUAUUAUCAGUGAUGAACUUUUCUAUUAUUUUACCAUCAUGAUUGAUUGUACCAAAACCCCACUUCGGACUUUGAGAAUUAAAAUCCCCGAAAAGAAUGAAUGCACCAUCAGAACCAUUCAUAAGAGUUGAUGGAGUUUUCUCAAAAACGGCGCAAUAUACGAACAUAUAGUUGAUAUACAUUUUUGUGUAAAUGAACUUUCUACAAGAUUUUAUUUUCAAUAUGCCGAGAAUAUUUCAAGACAAAAGAAUAUAUGGGACAUAUUGCCUACGCCUCCCUCUUGUUUCUAACUAACUACUGCCCCCCCCUGGUACUAUCCGUCACUGACUGGGUCAUUUAUUUAAUUUCAUUCCAUAGGGGCUGAAACAUCUCAGAAUAAAUUUUCACACACCCUCCUCUAUUAGUUUCGGAGAAAAUAAAAAUAACUCUUCAGAGAAUUCAUUUCAACAGCCUGUAUCUCGAAAGCGGAGGGUUUCUGGACAUAGGUUCAUAUGAAGUUUUCUUCCUAUUUUUCGACGUAGAAUGUACUUAUGAACAUAUCAAUUCCGACGGUUUUUGGUCACAAAAAUAUUCGAUACUUUUGUUUUUAUUAUAUAUGAAAUUUAUUAUUACCUAUUAUGUAUGUAUUAUCAAAUGAAUAAACUUUAUAAUUAUUAAA